UGAAUUGGCGCUAUAUAAAUAAAACUGAAUUGAAUUGAAUUGAGUGCACAAUUUUCGCCAGCCUCAGAUCUAUGGCUACAACUCCUGCAUUCAGCACUGUUAGCAGCCGUUAGCUAAUCAUCGUCUGCAGCUAGCAACAUGGGUGAGGCAGUCACAUCAUCAUCUUCGUGUGCUCCAGAUGAAUAAGCCUAGUGUUUAAGAUGACGUUAGCAUGGUACCGAAAAUAGGUACACACACUGAUUCCUGGGUACCAGGGACUCCGUCCUUCCAUCCCGCCUAGGGCGGCAAAAAGGCACAAAAUGUGUCUCAUUGUGAUUUGAUCGCCGUAACAGCGUCUUAAGCCGGUCUUUGAAUGCCGGGUUAUCGAGCCAAACUUGUGAAAACGUAGAUUGUCCCAUGUCCAUAGGUGGCGUGGGAGCUCAUGGGUGCAGAGGUGACAGGUGUUCCUUAUCCUGCUGAUUGCUACUGGGAACGUCUAAGCAGGAGGCUGCCAGCACUUCACUGCCUGAGUGUUAGCCAACAGUGGUUGCUUUCAAGCCCUGGCUUUGUUUCCAGUUUGUUUCCUGACUUCUGGAUUAAGAAUCUUCUGGAUCUAAGAUUCAAGCCUCCAGUUACCUUCUCUGGACAAACUCCAAGCUGGCAGCUUCUUAGCUCCGCAAUCAACCGGCCUCAAUCACACGCGAACCCUGUUCACCCUCCAACGAGCUCCCGUGCAAGUACCACCACCCAGGGCACCAUGACACCUUCUUCGCACAAUGGACUGAGCUUGACUGGACUUCCCGAAAACUUCCUUCAAUCAUCCAUUGACCAACUUACCUUGGAAAAGCGUUUCAUAUUACUUUAAGUACAAUAAUCAUGUCAUCACUCUGGUCUUACCUGUUUUCCCCUUCUCUGUGGAGUUAGUGAUCUACCGGUCUUGGUUCUCUCGCCACAAAUAAUUCUUGUGAAAAUAAACCUUUUAAAAUCUG